rnacentral:rRNA from 1 species
UACUCUUGGCAGUGGAUCACUCGGCUCGUACAUCGAUGAAGGACGCAGCUAGCUGCAAGAACUAAUAUGAAUUGCAGGACACCUUGAUCAUCAACACUUCAAACGCACCUUGCGGCCCUGGGUCUUUCCUGGGGCCAUGCAUGUCUGAGGGUUG